rnacentral:rRNA from 1 species
AGUGAACGCUGGCGGUAGGCCUAACACAUGCAAGUCGAACGGCCGCACAGUAAGAUCUUUCUCUUACGGGUGGCGAGUGGCGGACGGGUGAGGAAUACAUCGGAAUCUACUUUUUCGUGGGGGAUAACGUAGGGAAACUUACGCUAAUACCGCAUACGACCUACGGGUGAAAGCGGGGGAUCAUCGGACCUUGCGCGAUUGAAUGAGCCGAUGUCGGAUUAGCUAGUUGGCGGGGUAAAGGCCCACCAAGGCGACGAUCCGUAGCUGGUCUGAGAGGAUGAUCAGCCACACUGGAACUGAGACACGGUCCAGACUCCUACGGGAGGCAGCAGUGGGGAAUAUUGGGCAAUGGGCGCAAGCCUGAUCCAGCCAUACCGCGUGGGUGAAGAAGGCCUUCGGGUUGUAAAGCCCUUUUGUUGGGAAAGAAAAGCAGCAGGUGAAUACCCCGCUGUUCUGACGGUACCCAAAGAAUAAGCACCGGCUAACUUCGUG